rnacentral:rRNA from 1 species
AGCUCCAAUAGCAUAUGUUAAAGUUGCUGCAGUUAAAAAGCUCGUAGUUGAAUCUCGGGCGCCGAGGACGGAGCCGCCCCUCGGGGACGGCCCGGUUUCGGCGCCCUACCUCCGCACGCGCCGCCGGUGGCAACACCGGCGUCGAGGCGGAAAGUUUACCUUGAAAAAAUUAGGGCGAUCAAGGCAGGCGCGACCUCGCCACGAAUAGAUUAGCGCGGGAUAAUGAAACAGGGCAUCGGCUCGAUUUCGUUGGUUCCUCGGGACGAAGUACAUGAUUGAUAGGGACGGUCGGGGCCGCUCGUACCGGGUCGUGAGAGGUGAAAUUCUAGGAUCGACUCGAGACGAACUACCGCGAAAGCAUUCGGCAAGGACGCUUUCA